rnacentral:rRNA from 1 species
AUUGAACGCUGGCGGCAUGCUUUACACAUGCAAGUCGAACGGCAGCGCGGGCUUCGGCCUGGCGGCGAGUGGCGAACGGGUGAGUAAUAUAUCGGAACGUACCCAAGAGUGGGGGAUAACGUAGCGAAAGUUACGCUAAUACCGCAUACGAUCUAAGGAUGAAAGCAGGGGAUCGCAAGACCUUGUGCUCCUGGAGCGGCCGAUAUCUGAUUAGCUAGUUGGUGGGGUAAAGGCCUACCAAGGCAUCGAUCAGUAGCUGGUCUGAGAGGACGACCAGCCACACUGGGACUGAGACACGGCCCAGACUCCUACGGGAGGCAGCAGUGGGGAAUUUUGGACAAUGGGGGCAACCCUGAUCCAGCAAUGCCGCGUGAGUGAAGAAGGCCU